rnacentral:rRNA from 1 species
CCUACGGGGUGCAGCAGUGGGGAAUAUUGGACAAUGGGCGAAAGCCUGAUCCAGCCAUGCCGCGUGUGUGAAGAAGGCCUUCGGGUUGUAAAGCACUUUCAGUGGGGAAGAAAGCCUUGGGGCUAAUACCCUCGAGGAAGGACAUCACCCACAGAAGAAGCACCGGCUAACUCCGUGCCAGCAGCCGCGGUAAUACGGAGGGUGCGAGCGUUAAUCGGAAUUACUGGGCGUAAAGCGCGCGUAGGCGGUCUGAUAAGCCGGUUGUGAAAGCCCCGGGCUCAACCUGGGAACGGCAUCCGGAACUGUCAGGCUAGAGUGCAGGAGAGGAAGGUAGAAUUCCCGGUGUAGCGGUGAAAUGCGUAGAGAUCGGGAGGAAUACCAGUGGCGAAGGCGGCCUUCUGGACUGACACUGACGCUGAGGUGCGAAAGCGUGGGUAGCAAACAGGAUUAGAUACCUGGUAGUC